CCUCAGCGCCCGCCGUGCCGACCCCCGCGGGGCACUGCCUCCCGCCGGCGGCCGGUCCCGCCGCGCUUGGGCCCCGGCAGGGGCGGGCGGCUGCGGCGCGGCGCGGCCCGGCCCUGCCCUGCCCUGCCGGCGGGGUCGGGGCCUCGGUGGCCGGGGAGGCUUUAGGGGCAGAGCGGAGCUCCGUGGGCCCGUGUCCCGCCGGCGUGAAGGCUGUUUCUCUCAGAAGUGGCAGUCAGCCAGCGUUGGCUCUCGGUCCCCGAGGAGAAAGGGUUCGUGUCCCAAGCAGGGCGCGUCUCUUGCCUCAGCAAAAACCGUGACAGAGAGGCAGAGCAGUGUCCCUGCAAUCCGGCGAGAGCCGCAGGCGGUCCAGGGCGAGACCCGAUGGGCGCAGCAAAGCACGGAAGCCGCCCGUGGUGCCUGCGCCGUUCCCAUUUGCCGGCGGACGCCAGGCGCACUCGUCCGAAGAUGUACAGCUGUCAUCCUUCCUACUCACCGGAGAAUCAGAGGGCAAGAGGCGGACUCAGGUAGUCGUCCUGAUUCAGGAGAACAGUGACUGUGGAUCUUACCCUCGACACGCGCCAGCUUCGGUCUUCAUUAAGCCAACUGCCCCUCAGUCACGUAUCAAAUAGUUUAAAAGGCUGGGGAAUGGACGCGUGUCUGUGAAGCUUUGCCAGCUAAAUGCGGGAACCACGGAUCUAACAGUGGUUCCUCACCCUGACACCACUUUCAUGGCCCCAAGCCAUCCUGCGUAGAUGUUUCUCUAGUCUGAUGUUAAGAAAGAAAUGCCCACUCACCCACGAGGAUUUGCAGCCUCUCAGUUUCCCUACUCAGCCUUCAUCCUUGAUCCUCAGGUUUCAUUUAAACCUUCUUUGGUGCAAAUUAAGUUGACCGCUUUUUGUCUUGUUCUCAGUGGACACAAAGAACAAAUAAUCUUCUUUAAUAACAUUUUUUACAUAGAGGAAAAUGAUCCUGCUAAAAUAAAUUUUUAAAAAAUGUAAAAUAGAGGCUAUUUCUUUCAAUGGUAUUAUGGUAACAGUUGCAUAAUUAAUAGACAUAAUUUGCAGGGAUCUGUUUACAGAUGCUCCCCUCAUGCAGUGUGCAGUGGCUGGGGGGCUUGCUUGCAUUGGUACUGACUCAUGGGCAGCUACGCUUAAUCUCUUGCACGCCUCUCUUUCACGCCAGCUUUGACUUUCUUGUCUCAGCUUCUGCCUGCCUGCCUUCCCAACCACCCAUCCCAGAAGUCCUUCACUGCCAGGGCCCUCUCAGUGCCAUCACGUUGGCAUAGCAUCACUAGUCUGUGUAGAAAUGGGGUAGAAAUAAGCAAUGGUGUCCAUUUCUGCCCAGAUAAGUAUCUAAUACUUUGUGAAGGCUUUUAUUCUGUGAAUUUUAUAAGAUACAGUGUUAAUGGAUUACAAGUACAUUUGGAAGUAGUUGGGUUUUUUCAACUCCAGUUUUGCUGUAGCCUUUCUAUCAUCUUCCCCACUCCCAGCUUCUUCCCCUUUGGUCUUUCCAAACCAAUGCUGCAGAGUCUUUUCCUCUUCUGUCACAAAUGUAGAAUGUAUGUGUUUUACACAUAUCUGUAUAUUCUUCAUUAAAUAUGCUACUGUAUAUUGUUCUGAUAACUUACUGUGAUUUUUCCUUCUGCUUUUAAGUAACUUGAAUUAAAAAAACCCCUCAAGCUUUAAGAAACCUAAUUUGAGGUGAUAAUUUAAGAUAAUUCAAUGUGUUUUAGCCAACCAUAUUUAUGUAAUGUUGGUAGAAAAGAGUUUUAAUUCGGUAUUUUUAGACAAGUCAAAAUGCGGCUUCAUUAAUGACUGCCAUUUCAAUGGAACCUCGAUAAAAUGACACCUUGAGAUUACAGUGCACUUAGUAUGAUUAUUCUGUUGGCCUUGUGAAAGGCCAUUAGAGCUACCAUGAGGGAGAGACAGGGAUUGCUGUCCAUGGCAUUUGAUCACUCCUUACCUAGCCUGAAAGGUAAUGCAAAGAGCAUUGGUUAGGAUAUUUUGUCAAAAAUUGAAAACAGCACGUCUUUUAUUUUAGUUAUGCCCAAUAAAAUUAGCAUGGAUUAACUUUGUUAUGUAGGCAAGAGCUGAAAUGUUCUGAUCUGAGAGUUGCUGAAUACCCGGUAGUUAUGGGUAGCAGGGGACAGGGGCUCAGGACUUCUUAAAAGUACCCUCCUCUAAGUUCCUCUCUAGAGGAUUCCAAGUUUUACAGUGUUGAUCCUAAAUUUUGAGCAUCCCCUUCAGUUUCCUGAUUCUCCUUAAUAGGACUAGCCUCUCUUUGAAGCUGAAGUGGGUUGAAAGGCAACUGUUAAGUCUAUGGCCUGAUUGGAAUUGGAAAUGCCUGAUUUACCUGAGGGAUUCUGCACAGUGUAAGCUCAGCUAAAGCUAGGGAGUAGAUCUAUUUUCUUCCAAUUAAUGCAUAUUUCCACUUUAUUUUAUUUUUGCCCCAAUAAGAGAAAGGGGUGCUCUUGGCUGAGCUCUUUGGAGUCAUCAGAACCCAUCCCUGCUCUGAGACUUCAAAUGUAAAUAGACAGGACAGAGAAGUGGAGAAGACAAAACGUUGGCUCCACCCGGGGAGCCCACUGGCUGACAUUGCAGAAUCAUUUCUUCUUGGGAGCUUUCGGGAAGGGUGUCUUUUAUUGGAAGUGAUGCACGUCCACGGACUCUCUGCAUCUCCUGCUUAAGUAGUUGAAUUGUUCUGCAGUGGAUUUAACUGCAUUGCUUCCUCUCAGCUUCCUACUGCUAUCCUAUAGUCUGCUGGCUCACAUCUGAAGAAUCCUUUAUUCUGAUUUUCUGUGUGUCACUGUUCCACAGUCAGCUGCAGAGGAUGCACCUGGAGUGCCUCUCCAGAAAUUUUUGCGCUGUAAAUGCAUGUAAUUUGGUAUGAAUCUGACUGAUUGGUGCACUUUGCAUUUCCACAUGGUCCUGUACUAAGGUUCUGUACUUAGUAGGUCCCUCGUGAGAAAAGCAGGGUUUAUUCUCUUAAUUCCCAUAGCUAAAAAUGCCAUUCUUGAAACAUAUUACACAAUUACUACUUGCAUAAGUAGCAUGCAUCUAUCUUUGCAACUUCUGGGUCUUAAUUACUCAUUUAAGUGUGUGGUAGAGCCAAGAACUCCAGAUUUUGUGAGGUCUUUGUUUUUUGGCCCCGUGGGACGUGGCUAGGUAAAGCAAUGGCAGUGAUAACAUAUCACGACCACAAGUACUCUGUUCUCUUAAAGCAUGUUAAAGCUGUCUCUUAAAGCACUUUAUUUGUAUUCUAAAAUGCUUCUGUGAUACAAGAACAGCAAGAAUACACCUUUUAACAACAGUUAGUAUUUCUGCACUUGUCACGUUUUGCCAGUUCAGGCUCUCGGGACUUAUUUUUCUAACAGCUGAGAGUUUUUCACUAUUGUAACUACUUGCAAAUGGGGAUCCUGUAGUACAGGCUUUCUGCUUAAAAGGUUAUCUUUACAGGUUACUGUUUCUGUGUCGUUUGAGACAGCUCUUGAGGAGCUUGGAGCAGUUUUGAUGUAAGUCUUUGAACAGGAUUUGAAUUAGUGGUUCCAGCUAAACUGCAUGCCACUAUUAAUACUUUAGGCUUGGUUUUUAGCCUUUACAAUACUGAUGCAAUCAAUGAUGUGGUCCUUGGGUACAACCUCACUGGUGACUCUCUUUUUGCACCUGUGACAAAAGUGGGUACUGCUGUUAACUGUGACUAUGGAAGGUAAUUUUCUUUAUGUAUGUUUUUGUUACAGAAUGUUUUAAUGUCUCCUUUAUAAGCCAGUAUGACAACUGCAAGUCAACACUGAUUCCUGAAGGCACAACAUGCACAUUCCCACUGUGCAUGUAAAUUAACUUGUUAAUCACAUAGACUUUAUUUAAUUAGUAAAAAUAUGUAAAGGAAAUUGGCCAGUUGGGUAAGAUUUCAUAUUAAGUGCAAACCAACCUCAGUUAUUUACUAUUGACAGUUUAUUACAGCUUUACACUUAGAUUUCAAAAACAUGGCAGAUGUUUGUCCUUUUCAGUCAGCUGCACUUAACAGGUUACUUGGGAUUGUCAUUUUAUGUUUUUAUUUCAGUGAACUUUUCCUCUGGGGUAGACACCUCCCCCCUGCCCCUUCUGAUGCAGCCUCAGUGGCAUUUUUUAAAGCAGUGCUCAAGUCCUUCCAUGGCUGUAGUUCUAUACAUUGCAUGGGGAGUCCCUGCUUCUGAGGAACCGUGUAGUUAGAGCCUUUCCAGACUCCUGAAAGGUGGCAGGCUCACAGUAUAAUUUUGUGACUUUUUGUUUAUUCUUACACUAGUCAAAGGACCUGCCAUAGUAGGCAAUAAACUGAACCAGAGUUUCAUUCAUUACCUCCAGUGGGACUUCACUGUAGUACCUGAAAUGUUCCUGGUUUUGAUCUUAGCACCUGUGUCCUUAGCAAUCUUUGUGCCAUCCUGCAAUGGCAAGUGUAAUUUUGAGUACACGAGACAAUUGUGAGUAUACCUCAUUUUCCAUGGCGCUUUGCAGCACGUUGCUCUGUUUGUUGGAUUCUGCAACCAGUUCAGACUUGCCUAGGAUAUUUUUCCAUGGUUUAGUCUGGGAGUUUUUCCUACAGUCCCUGUUUUAUUCCUUGUCUGGCUCUGUUAGUGAACUUCAACCUUCCUCUACAUUGUUAUUACAAUGGAAUGUAGAACUACACUCAUUCUUAUCUGAGUUUAUUGAAGUUUCUUCAAAGAUGAAACUGGACUGCUGUGCUGUGUUGAGAUAGCAGAAGCCCUGUACUCAAGCAAAACUUGAAGGGCUGACAAGCAUGACAACGGCAGUGUAAUAGGAAAUUUUAAGAGGACAUUAUUUUCUUUAUGUAACAAAUUGCUAUUAUGUUUCAGUAUAAAGAUUCCCAAUGUGAGUCUAAAGAGCAGAGUAAGAUCAUUUAUGAAAAAUAUUUUGUUCUUUGUUUUUUUAACAGUAGCUACAAAUAGGUUAUGCCCUAUUGGAACAGUAGUCUUCAGUAUUUUGAUAAUCUAUUCAAAGUGCAUCUCUAGUGUUACCUCACCCACUUAUCUAAUUGAAAUCUCUAACACUAUUUGGGAGAAAAGCUAUAUGGUAGCAGAAAGUGCAAAAAUCCAUCAAGACUGGCUGUGUAUCAAGGGGAAGUUACUUGAUCUAAAUACCUUGGGUAUCUCCUUGUAUAAUGAAUAAACAUUAUAUACACCAUAAAGGUCUACAUCCUAAUGUUUCUUUCAGUGCCACGUAUAUUGUGCUCACUUUGUACCAAUCUAAUAAAUGUGGUUUUUACUUAGACCAUCAAA